CUUGAGCACUAUUUGCGCUGCGCCGUCCACGACACUCGUCACCGCUGGAAGCGCUGGCUACCAAUGGCAGAGUUCUGGUAUAAUUCAAGCCAUCACAGUGCCAUCAAAUGUUCGCCAUUCAAGGCUCUGUAUGGAGUGGAACCAAAUUUUGGUGCUCUUCCCAACCUAUUCAACACCAAGACACCAGAAUCGCUGCAUCAGCUGGCGGCAGAGCACCAACAGUUCACCGAGAUGCUGAAAACCCAUCUGCUGCGUGCACAACAUCGAAUGAAACAUCAAGCAGACCGCAAGCGCACCAACAGGGAAUUUCAAGUAGGAGAUCAGGUCUUACUCAAGCUGCAGCCCUAUGUUCAGUCUUCCAUGGUGAGCAGACCAUGUCCAAAGCUCGCGUACAAAUUCUUUGGGCCAUACAAGGUCAUCAGCCGCGUCGGAUCCCUCGCAUACAAGCUUGACUUGCCUCGGGAAAGUAAGAUUCAU
rnacentral:rRNA from 1 species